rnacentral:rRNA from 1 species
AAAGCUCUCUCCCGAUGCACAACCGUCGGUGGCAGUAAAGGCUUCAGUACGACCCAGUCAGAACUAUAAGUCUCAAAGCCCCGACGAGUAGGGUGGCGUGCCGGUGAGCGUUGAAGGCCAAGACGUGAGUCAGGCUGGAGCCGCCGGUAGUGCAGAUCUUGGUGGUAGUAGCAAGUACUCUGGUGAACCAACCUGGAGCUGUGAGGUCUGGAUCAGGGUUCCAUGUCAACAGUGAUUGAACAUGGGUGAGUCGAUCCUAAGCCAACUGUGAAAGCAGUGACAUCCCGACAAAGGGGCAGUUCGUCUGGCGGCCACACGCGUUUGUGUGCACAUUCGCAAGUCUCCUCUCUCUAUAUAUGGUCGCGCGCGCAUGCAAACACCCGGUGCGCGUGUGUUUUGUCUGGUUACGCUCAAAAAGCGUUAUAUGGUUGGAGAGAGAGAAAACGAGGCAGUGCCGCGCGUGUGUGUGUGUGCGUUCGUUCUCAAAGUUCCCUGCGUCUGGUUCUAUGUCUGGCGAAAGGGAAUGGGGACUUUGUUCCUUGACCGGUCCCGGCACCCUCGAUAGGCUUUGCCAAUCAAUGGUCCAUGCAAAUGGAACCAGGCCACAGCCGCCGGCAGUCGCCCGAGGAAGAGUUUUCUUUUCUGCUUAACGCACGAGAUCAUCCCUGGAAACAGUUCGGCUGGCGAAAGGGUGCCCCGUUGCGGCAGAGCGCCACGACUGUCGUGCGCGUCUCGGUGUUCCUGCCGGUCCGUGAAGACGUGGUCGAGGGGAUUGCUAUUGUAUCAACGAAACGCCCGACAAGUUCGGGACGGACCGUACCCUAUAUCCGCAUCUGGUCUCCAAGGUUCGUAGCCUCUGCAGAGUCAGACACAUGUAGGUAAGGGAAGUCGGCAAACUCGAUCCGUAACUUCGGGAAAAGGAUUGGCUCUGAGGGCCGAGCUGGGCCGGGCCUUGCCUGCAAAGCAGUACCUAUAGUGACCGGAGUUUCAGGAGUGCGAGGGGCUCUAGUAGCUUCCUGCGCGUUCACGCGUGUGGGCACGAACGAGUCUACCGCUCCGCUCCAACCACGAACGGCUGUGACGGCAAGGGCUCUGGGCGGGAGCGUUCAAACCGUUUGUCCCCAGCUCGUCUGGGUGGCGGCGGUGCUCCGUCUGACCCAUACGGCUCCAGCGGCUAGCGGCUAACUCAGAACUGUCAUGGACCAAGGGAAUCCGACUGUCUAAUUAAAACAAAGCGUCGUGACGGCCCCUGUUGGGUGUUGACGCGACGUGAUUUCUGCCCAGUGCUCUG